GACGAACGCUGGCGGCGUGCCUAAUACAUGCAAGUAGAACGCUGAAGGAGGAGCUUGCUUCUCUGGAUGAGUUGCGAACGGGUGAGUAACGCGUAGGUAACCUGCCUGGUAGCGGGGGAUAACUAUUGGAAACGAUAGCUAAUACCGCAUAAUAGUAGAUGUUGCAUGACAUUUGCUUAAAAGGUGCAAUUGCAUCACUACCAGAUGGACCUGCGUUGUAUUAGCUAGUUGGUGGGGUAACGGCUCACCAAGGCGACGAUACAUAGCCGACCUGAGAGGGUGAUCGGCCACACUGGGACUGAGACACGGCCCAGACUCCUACGGGAGGCAGCAGUAGGGAAUCUUCGGCAAUGGACGGAAGUCUGACCGAGCAACGCCGCGUGAGUGAAGAAGGUUUUCGGAUCGUAAAGCUCUGUUGUAAUAGAAGAACGAGUGUGAGAGUGGAAAGUUCACACUGUGACGGUAUCUUACCAGAAAGGGACGGCUAACUACGUG
rnacentral:rRNA from 1 species